AUUUAUGACUAGUGACACAUACCUGCCAUUCCCUUUGAAUGAGACAUGUGGUAAGCUAUAUUCAGACAAACCACCUCAGGUAAUAAAACUGCAGUAGCACUCAGGGGCUAUACCAUUUUCUAGCAUUGAGAGAAAUUCCAAGCCAAGCUGCUAGAAAUCAGCAGAUGACAGGGAUUAAAUUUGUGUGGAGUACUUCCACAACAGAUAAAUAAACAACAUGUUGAACGUUUUGUGCCAGAACACUAUUUUUUCCCCCAACCUAACGCCUCAAAGUGUGAAUGUUAGCCAUCUCCUCCCAAAAAACAAAAAAGAGCUGUAAAUUCACACGGUCAGCAUAACUGCAUGUGUGCGCAAGUUUGCAGGGUAGAGGUGGGAUGUUAUGAUAGGCAGAGGAGCCAUAACAGCAGGCAGCCAGGUCAAGAUCAAGCAGUUUCAUGGACAAUCCACUUUAAGUCUAGCCUCUGUUAUGGUGAAGCCUUCACACUCCUACUGCACAACUGUCUUCUAACUUUACACAACAAUGACGCUUCAAAGUCAAGGCUAUGGGAAAUCAGACACAACACUAAAAUAAAAUAAAAUAAAAUAAAAUAAAAUAAAAUAAAAUAAAAUAAAAUAAAAUAAAAUAGGGUGGCACAAAACCAGCAGAAAUAAGCAUAUAGAAUUAAUUCAUAAACAAUACUUAUGCUAGUAUUUUUGGUAUAUCUGAUUUUUCUGUGUUCCAGGGAACGCGUAAGACAACCAUACUGAAUUAUGUUGAAGAAUUCAACAGAAGAAAUCUUUUUCUUUAAUAAUACCUAAAGCUAAACACGCAUGUAAACAGUGGCUACUGAAUAAGCCAGUCAUCACAGUAGAACCUAUUUAAUUAUCCCACUGUGAGAGCGAGCCACUAUUUCCAUCACCACUUUGCUCACACAGGCUCAGCACACUAUUAAUCCACUUAAACACAAUUUAUAGGGUCUCAGCAUUGACUGUCCGUCGGCAUAAAAUUACAUGAAGCAUCCUUAUAGUGUCGUCAACAGACUAAAUUAGCCAAACUG
ensembl:lncRNA